UCAAUUGCUCUUUUAAAAUCCCCUGCUAAACAACUUUAUUCAACCACUAUUACUAACAAUAACUGCAGUUAUAUUGAACCAUGUGAUUCCAAUACAACACUGAACCUUACUAAUGAAUUUCAUACUUGUAUUGAAUAUUCUGCAGAGAUUCAGCCAAUUGAUGACAUAUUGUACCUAUAUGAAACUAAUGGCAAUAAGGAUAAAAACCAAAAUUUAGUCCAACAAAUUCGUAAGUGGGCUGUGCAGUUUAAUGUAUCACAUGGUUGUGCAAAUGAAAUGUUAAAUAUUCUUAGGAACACAAAUUAAUAAUUAAAUUGUUGACGGCAACGACAAGAACGGAGCGAU